rnacentral:lncRNA from 1 species
AAACAUUUGUACAUGUGGGGUCUUGGCCGCAUGCUAAAAAAACAUGUGCUAAUUACAAUAACUGAAAGGAAACCACUCCAAAUGGACGUCCCUCCCUAAAGAUUGUGAUGUUAGUUUACAAAACUGCCAAGUAGGGUAGAAUGGUUGAGAAGCCCGGGUCAUGCUCUGAUAGGGGGUUAGUUAUUUCCAUCACAAAACGUGCAUAAAAGGGCCUCCAUGCACCCUCCCCAUAUCACCAAUUACAUCUGUCCUCUUCUUCUCAUUCUUUUAACCAGCUGAAGAUUUGAUGUUUUCAUGCUUUCCACAGGCUUUCUUGAACAUGGUUCCCUUCUCAUUCUUUUAACCAGCUGAAGAUUUGAUGUUUUCAUGCUUUCCACAGGCUUUCUUGAACAUGGUAUUCAGACGGUUCCUCUUCGAGUUAGUUCUCGGAGAUGCAAUGUUGAGUAACAGGUUCAAAAAAGCUGUGGAGAAACAUGGAAACGAUUGUUAUGCUGUAUUGCUGGCUCGAAGGCGAUUUUAUAAGAAUGUUGGCUAUGGUUAAUUUUCCGGUUGAUGAUCUGAAGAUAUUUGUCACUGGUGCUAAAUUUUUCUUGGUUACUAAGAGAGAGCCAUAUAGGAUUAAUUUUUCAAAUUCCAACAUAUUUACCCUACUUUGAUAUUUUCAUUUCUGCUUUCGAUAUUGGUUUUCAAAGAAAUUUCAUGAAGGUACAUGCAUGAGUGGGUCUUCAUAAAUUUGGGUGGGGGUUCCGUUUACACAAAACACUAGUGGAGAAAAUAUAGCAAUGAGUUUAUGUCAAGAAUGUUUAGGGAAAGGAAUUUAUUUCAAAGAAUAUGGGAAUCUAUUUAGUCAUAAUAAAGUUACAAGGCGUUAUUGCAAAAAUAUUUCAUCUCCUUCAUAUUUUUAUAUGUAAUAAUUUAAAUAUCAUAUGGAUUUCAAACAUGGAGGGAUUAAAAUAUAUUUGUAAUCCCUGUGAUCUUGUUUUCCAGAAAGAUACUUAAUUGGAAUAGCUUCCAUUUUUCUUAUAUGAUAAUUAUUGAUUGGGUUUGUUUUUGAUGGACAAGUUUCUUGAUGUAUUUUUUUGCCCCAGUUACUGAUAGUGGAAAAAUGCUACAUUUCAAAUUCUUACAUGGUAAAAAAAAUAAAAAAAAGGGAGCUAAAUUACAUGUUACAUAAAAUCUGUAUUUGUGUCGUGUGAAGUAUAUUUUUCGAAUUACCAAAGCAUUGUGAUAUAUGGUGGUAUUGAAAAAAAAUGUAAAAAAUCACCCAAAUCAGAGAGAGCCACGACGUAAAACAAAUGGGAGAAAUUUAAAAAAUGCAUUAGCAUCUACUGCUAAAACACAUUGUAGAAUGACAAACUCCAUGAUAUCCCACUCUCAUUUGCUUUAAAACAUCAUCCUAGGGAUACUUACGAAGCAUAGAAACCAUAUUUCUAGUAAUGUCGAUGAAUAUGCGUUAUCUCAUUAAUUUGAUAGUCGUUAAAGUGAUACAGAAAGGAAGAUGGAGGAAUAUGUGUUAUCUCAUUAAUUUGAAUGUGGUUAAAGUGAUUCAGAAAGGAAGAUGGGUGUCUCCAAGAUUGGCUUAAAAUAAAUUUUGAUGGCUCUUUGGGGAACCUGGGUUUUGCUAGAAUUGGAGUUCUUCACUAAUAGUGAUAGUUGUGUCAUCUUUUGCUUUGCUCGUCCACGUGGAUGGUUUUUUUACUCUCAAAAUGUAAUUAUUUGGUGUAAGGAGGAGGCGAGGCCACCAUGGAAAUUAUGGUCCAUGUGAUUACAGGUUAUGGAUCUUGUCAGGGCUCUCUUUAAAACAUGCUUAUAGGGAGGCUAAUGAUACGGUGGAUGGAUUAAUAAAGUUUGGGCUUCUCUUUUGCAUUUACAUGUUUCCAAUUCUUUGUUUAUUUGAAGAGUUGUGUAACUUUUGAUUGAGAUUUUAAUAAAAUUAC